GUCCUCGUUGAUUAAAUGGUAAAUCAACCACUCCCCUUAGGAACUCUGCAAGUGUCCAGUGGGAGACGGAGGUUCGAAUCCUCCCGAGGGUA